UGGAGAGCGUACACAGGUGCUGCAUGGCUGUCGUCAGCUCGUGUCGUGAGAUGUUGGGUUAAGUCCCGCAACGAGCGCAACCCUGCAUUCAGUUGCCAUCGGGUGAAGCCGGGCACUCUGGAAGGACUGCCAUCGACAAGAUGGAGGAAGUGGGGACGACGUCAAGUCAUCAUGGCCCUUAUGUCCAGGGCGACACACGUGCUACAAUGGCCGGCACAACGGGAAGCGAGUUCGCGAGGACGAGCGGAUCCCUUAAAGCCGGUCGCAGUUCGGAUUGAAGUCUGCAACUCGACUUCAUGAAGCUGGAAUCGCUAGUAAUCGCAGAUCAGCCAAGCUGCGGUGAAUACGUUCCCGGGCCUU
rnacentral:rRNA from 1 species